AUUGAACGCUGGCGGUAUGCUUAACACAUGCAAGUCGAACGGCAGCAUGGUCUAGCUUGCUAGACUGAUGGCGAGUGGCGGACGGGUGAGUAACGCGUAGGAAUAUGCCUUGAAGAGUGGGACAACUUGGGGAAACUCAAGCUAAUACCGCAUGUACUCGAGAGAGUAAAGCUGGGGACCUUUAGGCCUGGCGCUUUAAGAUUAGCCUGCGUCCGAUUAGCUAGUUGGUAGGGUGAAGGCCUACCAAGGCGACGAUCGGUAGCUGGUCUGAGAGGAUGAUCAGCCACACUGGAACUGAGAGACGGGCCAGACUCCUACGGGAGGCAGCAGUGGGGAAUAUUGGACAAUGGGGGGAACCCUGAUCCAGCAAUGCCGCGUGUGUGAAGAAGGCCUGAGGGUUGUAAAGCACUUUCAGUGGGGGGGAGGUUUGGAAGGUUAAGAGCUAUUCAAAUGGACGUUACCCACAGAAGAAGCACCGGCUAACUCCGUGCCAGCCGCCGCCGUAA
rnacentral:rRNA from 1 species